UGGGGAAUUUUGGACAAUGGGGGAAACCCUGAUCCAGCCAUCCCGCGUGUGCGAUGAAGGCCUUCGGGUUGUAAAGCACUUUUGGCAGGAAAGAAACGUCAUGGGUUAAUACCCCGUGAAACUGACGGUACCUGCAGAAUAAGCACCGGCUAACUACGUGCCAGCAGCCGCGGUAAUACGUAGGGUGCAAGCGUUAAUCGGAAUUACUGGGCGUAAAGCGUGCGCAGGCGGUUCGGAAAGAAAGAUGUGAAAUCCCAGAGCUCAACUUUGGAACUGCAUUUUUAACUACCGGGCUAGAGUGUGUCAGAGGGAGGUGGAAUUCCGCGUGUAGCAGUGAAAUGCGUAGAUAUGCGGAGGAACACCGAUGGCGAAGGCAGCCUCCUGGUAUAACACUGACGCUCAUGCACGAAAGCGUGGGGAGCAAACAGG
rnacentral:rRNA from 1 species